CCUUUCUAUAAAUAUGAGCAAUUCAGUUACUGUUUCUUAGGAACAGUACUCGGGUUACUAUUGCUUAGGAACAGGGGAUUUCCCUUUGUGCCCUUAAUUUUUUUUUUUUUUUUUUUGUUUUUUUUGUUUUCCUAAUUUUCCUCUGAUCCUCUUAUUUUGUCGUUUGAGAACACGAGGCUGCUUUCCCCCUUUUCCUUUGAAGCAUACUCUCAGUUAGCCUCCUCUAUUGAAGCGUUCCUCUGAGUUCUCCUUUGAAGUGGUUUCUGAUAUGUCUAUCUAUUUUUUCGUCGACACCGCUACUGAGAUGCAUGUGGAAGUCUGGCGAAAGAGCAGCAAGCAAUAGGAGUUGCAAUUCUGCUUCAAAUUAUGAUGCUGGUUCUUGCUUAUGUACUUGGUCAUGUUUUGCGUCGCCAUAAAUUUUAUUAUCUUCCUCAAGCUAGCGCUUCUCUUUUGAUUGGGUUUGGGAAGUGUGAGAAGCUAAUCUAUUGACUGUAUUGAGGAUAAAGAAGCUGAUUGUGUGAUAAAGAAUGGGACUUCUGAAUAGAUGGUGAAGAUAGUAGAAACACUCAAUGCAGGUAAAGGUCAUGUAAAAGGUUGGGAGUCUACUUUAUGAAGACUUGGGGGAAAGAAAUUUGAUAUAGUUCAUGAAGCAGCUCAAAUCAAAGUAAUACACAUUAUUCAAAGGAGUAUCAGAGAACUUAAACUACUUGAUUUAAUUGCAUAUAGUGCAUGUAAGAUGUAAGCAUUAAAUAUCUUGCAGGACUCUGCUAAAACUAUUGAUCAUGUCUCACAAGGUAGCUUCUUGGACAUGUUCCAAAUGAAGCAUGCUUUUGGACUUACAAUAAGUCUUGUGUUCAUGGAACGAGCAUCAUGUGGUAGAACAAAUGGUAUUUUGUUUUAUGCAGCUACAACUUUAUAAAUGUGGAAGACGAGCAAUUUUACUGGUGAGUAUCCUAUGUGAUGUAACAUAUAUCCUAUGCUUUUAUACUACGUAUAUGAUUUUCUGUAUUAUUUGGCGAUUCAAGGUUAUUUGUCGCAAAAUCUGGAUGUCCUUUGUGUCCUAUGUUUUUGUGCAAAUAUGAGAAUUUACUCAACUUUUGAAUUAUUUUCCAUAAUUCUUCAUGAAUUUUACAAAGUAAAAAUAGCUAUGAUGGAAGAAUUGAAACAAGAACGUUUACAUAGUUACAGUAUGCAUGAAGAAGGCUUCAACAAUAAUUUAAGAUGUUCAUGGUGAGUUUGAAGAUAUCUUAUGCGAAAUACUUCAAUAUCCAUUUACGUUAAUGGCACUACCACUUUUAUCUUUUAUGCUUUUGCUACUUUUGUUUCUAUUGUUGAGGAAUUGUGGAUUGGGAUGGGAUGUUUCUUAUGGACUAUACAAAUGUGAUGUCAUCUUGCUGUAGUAUUAUAGUUGAACAUGUACCAAUUUCUUACUCAAAUUUCCCUUGUUUCUUGCAAGUAUAUGACAAUGAAACUAAUGUUUUUUCAGGCUGAAUACAUGCAAUAUUCAAACUUCAAUAUGCAUUAUGAGUCUGACUAUGCAGAAACCUCUUGAUCUCCAACUUUCAGCCGGUGAAUUUAGUGGCCAAUGUGUUGAAGUUAUAAAGAAGAUUAUAAAUGGUAGAAAUAACAAUAAUUGUAAAUUUGAUGUUCUUGGUGGAAUUAUAUUAUUAAUUUUUACAAAUUUUCACACUACAUAUUUGGCUUGUGCUAAAAUUAUUGUUUAGCUUAGGAUUAAUUAAUUCUAGCAUUUACUCUCUCUAGACCACUACCAUGUACUUAGGUUGUUACAAUCAAUCUGAUCAAAUUUAAAAUGGCUAGAGAGUUGGGUGAAUGAGGCUCACUAUAGAUG